GGCUUGUUGGGCUAGGGGUUUGCUUCUUACUUAUGGUGCAGGAGUUCUCAGGUUCGAAUCUUGGACACACCC